AAAUUGAAGAGUUUGAUCAUGGCUCAGAUUGAACGCUGGCGGCAGGCCUAACACAUGCAAGUCGAACGGUAACAGGAAGAAGCUUGCUUCUUUGCUGACGAGUGGCGGACGGGUGAGUAAUGUCUGGGAAACUGCCUGAUGGAGGGGGAUAACUACUGGAAACGGUAGCUAAUACCGCAUAACGUCGCAAGACCAAAGAGGGGGACCUUAGGGCCUCUUGCCAUCGGAUGUGCCCAGAUGGGAUUAGCUUGUUGGUGAGGUAACGGCUCACCAAGGCGACGAUCCCUAGCUGGUCUGAGAGGAUGACCAGCCACACUGGAACUGAGACACGGUCCAGACUCCUACGGGAGGCAGCAGUGGGGAAUAUUGCACAAUGGGCGCAAGCCUGAUGCAGCCAUGCCGCGUGUAUGAAGAAGGCCUUCGGGUUGUAAAGUACUUUCAGCGGGGAGGAAGGGAGUAAAGUUAAUACCUUUGCUCAUUGACGUUACCCGCAGAAGAAGCACCGGCUAACUCCGUGCCAGCAGCCGCGGUAAUACGGAGGGUGCAAGCGUUAAUCGGAAUUACUGGGCGUAAAGCGCACGCAGGCGGUUUGUUAAGUCAGAUGUGAAAUCCCCGGGCUCAACCUGGGAACUGCAUCUGAUACUGGCAAGCUUGAGUCUCGUAGAGGGGGGUAGAAUUCCAGGUGUAGCGGUGAAAUGCGUAGAGAUCUGGAGGAAUACCGGUGGCGAAGGCGGCCCCCUGGACGAAGACUGACGCUCAGGUGCGAAAGCGUGGGGAGCAAACAGGAUUAGAUACCCUGGUAGUCCACGCCGUAAACGAUGUCGACUUGGAGGUUGUGCCCUUGAGGCGUGGCUUCCGGAGCUAACGCGUUAAGUCGACCGCCUGGGGAGUACGGCCGCAAGGUUAAAACUCAAAUGAAUUGACGGGGGCCCGCACAAGCGGUGGAGCAUGUGGUUUAAUUCGAUGCAACGCGAAGAACCUUACCUGGUCUUGACAUCCACGGAAGUUUUCAGAGAUGAGAAUGUGCCUUCGGGAACCGUGAGACAGGUGCUGCAUGGCUGUCGUCAGCUCGUGUUGUGAAAUGUUGGGUUAAGUCCCGCAACGAGCGCAACCCUUAUCCUUUGUUGCCAGCGGUCCGGCCGGGAACUCAAAGGAGACUGCCAGUGAUAAACUGGAGGAAGGUGGGGAUGACGUCAAGUCAUCAUGGCCCUUACGACCAGGGCUACACACGUGCUACAAUGGCGCAUACAAAGAGAAGCGACCUCGCGAGAGCAAGCGGACCUCAUAAAGUGCGUCGUAGUCCGGAUUGGAGUCUGCAACUCGACUCCAUGAAGUCGGAAUCGCUAGUAAUCGUGGAUCAGAAUGCCACGGUGAAUACGUUCCCGGGCCUUGUACACACCGCCCGUCACACCAUGGGAGUGGGUUGCAAAAGAAGUAGGUAGCUUAACCUUCGGGAGGGCGCUUACCACUUUGUGAUUCAUGACUGGGGUGAAGUCGUAACAAGGUAACCGUAGGGGAACCUGCGGUUGGAUCACCUCCUUA
rnacentral:rRNA from 1 species